rnacentral:rRNA from 1 species
GAUGAACGCUGGCGGCGUGCCUAAUACAUGCAAGUCGAGCGAACGGACGAGAAGCUUGCUCCUCUGACGUUAGCGGCGGACGGGUGAGUAACACGUGGAUAACCUACCUAUAAGACUGGGAUAACUUCGGGAAACCGGAGCUAAUACCGGAUAAUAUAUUGAACCGCAUGGUUCAAUAGUGAAAGACGGUUUUGCUGUCACUUAUAGAUGGAUCCGCGCUGCAUUAGCUAGUUGGUAAGGUAACGGCUUACCAAGGCAACGAUGCGUAGCCGACCUGAGAGGGUGAUCGGCCACACUGGAACUGAGACACGGUCCAGACUCCUACGGGAGGCAGCAGUAGGGAAUCUUCCGCAAUGGGCGAAAGCCUGACGGAGCAACGCCGCGUGAGUGAUGAAGGUCUUCGGAUCGUAAAACUCUGUUAUUAGGGAAGAACAAAUGUGUAAGUAACUGUGCACGUCUUGACGGUACCUAAUCAGAAAGCCACGGCUAACUACGUG